rnacentral:rRNA from 1 species
AUUGAACGCUGGCGGCAUGCCUUACACAUGCAAGUCGAACGGCAGCACGGGUGCUUGCACCUGGUGGCGAGUGGCGAACGGGUGAGUAAUACAUCGGAACGUACCUUAUCGUGGGGAUAACGCAGCGAAAGCUGUGCUAAUACCGCAUACGCCCUGAGGGGGAAAGCGGGGGAUCGCAAGACCUCGCGCGAUUAGAGCGGCCGAUGCCUGAUUAGCUUGUUGGUGGGGUAAAAGCCCACCAAGGCGACGAUCAGUAGCUGGUCUGAGAGGACGAUCAGCCACACUGGGACUGAGACACGGCCCAGACUCCUACGGGAGGCAGCAGUGGGGAAUUUUGGACAAUGGGGGCAACCCUGAUCCAGCAAUGCCGCGUGAGUGAAGAAGGCCUUCGGGUUGUAAAGCUCUUUUGUCAGGGAAGAAACACCGGCUCUAACACAGUCCGGGAAUGACGGUACCUGAAGAAUAAGCACCGGCUAACUACGUGCCAGCCGCCGCCUGUAA